GCCAUAUGGAAUGUUUUUCUUUUUAUCAUUUAAUUUGUAGGGCAUCAUGAUGAUGGGACUGAGAGUUUGUGAAUUACUUUCUGCGGUGUCGUUUUGUUGCUUCAUGCUCCUUGCCGUAGCACAAAUUACCGAUCCCUCUGAAGUCUCUGCAUUAAUAGCGAUCAAGAGCAAUUUAGUUGAUCCUAAGCAUCUCAAGAAUU